UGGGGAAUAUUGCACAAUGGGCGCAAGCCUGAUGCAGCCAUGCCGCGUGUAUGAAGAAGGCCUUCGGGUUGUAAAGUACUUUCAGCGAGGAGGAAGGCGUUGUGGUUAAUAACCGCAACGAUUGACGUUACUCGCAGAAGAAGCACCGGCUAACUCCGUGCCAGCAGCCGCGGUAAUACGGAGGGUGCAAGCGUUAAUCGGAAUGACUGGGCGUAAAGCGCACGCAGGCGGUCUGUCAAGUCGGAUGUGAAAUCCCCGGGCUCAACCUGGGAACUGCAUCCGAAACUGGCAGGCUAGAGUCUUGUAGAGGGGGGUAGAAUUCCAGGUGUAGCGGUGAAAUGCGUAGAGAUCUGGAGGAAUACCGGUGGCGAAGGCGGCCCCCUGGACAAAGACUGACGCUCAGGUGCGAAAGCGUGGGGAGCAAACA
rnacentral:rRNA from 1 species